rnacentral:misc_RNA from 1 species
AUGUUCCGAAAGGCCCGGCGGGUGAACGUGCGCAAGCGGAACGACUCCGAAGAGGAAGAGCGGGAACGCGAUGAGGAGCAGGAGCCGCCGCCGUUGUUGCCGCCGCCGGGCACGGGCGAAGAGGCGGGCCCCGGUGGCGGCGACAGGGCCCCUGGCGGGGAGUCGCUGCUGGGCCCGGGGCCGUCGCCGCCUUCCGCGCUGACCCCGGGCCUCGGGGCUGAGGCCGGGGGCGGCUUCCCCGGCGGCGCGGAGCCCGGCAACGGGCUGAAGCCGCGCAAGAGGCCUCGCGAGAACAAAGAGGUGCCCCGGGCCAGCCUGCUCAGCUUCCAGGACGAGGAGGAAGAAAAUGAAGAAGUUUUCAAAGUGAAGAAAUCAAGUUAUAGCAAAAAGAUAGUAAAAUUGCUCAAGAAGGAAUAUAAAGAAGAUCUUGAAAAAUCGAAGAUUAAGACAGAACUCAACUCAUCAGCUGAAA